rnacentral:rRNA from 1 species
AAUGAACGUUGGCGGCGUGGAUUAGGCAUGCGAGUCGUACGAGAACCCGCAAGGGGGGAAAGCGGCGAACGGGGUAGUAAUGCGUAGGUGACGUGCCCUGUGGUCGGGGAUAGCUUAGGGAAACUUAAGGUAAUACUCGAUGAUCCCGGAUUGUUUGAAGGCAGACCGGGCAAAGGUGUGAUUCCAUCACAGGAGCGGCUUGCGUGGUAUUAGCUAGUUGGUGAGGUAACGGCUCACCAAGGCUGCGAUGCCUAGGGGAUGUUAGCGCAUGAUCCCCACCACUGGGACUGAGAUACUGCCCAGACACCUACGGGUGGCUGCAGUCGAGAAUCUUCGGCAAUGGGCGAAAGCCUGACCGAGCGACGCCGCGUGUGGGA